rnacentral:rRNA from 1 species
AUGUUCCACCCAGAGCACUCUUCUCAACCGACCAAAUCGUCCUUGGUAAUUGGGAUGCACGGUGUUCCAGUAAAAAAAUCGCCCAUUGAGAGGAGCUGUACUGGUAAGCCUAGCAUGAGCACGAGAGGGGAGAUGUCUCCGCCCCGCCGCCGCCGCCGCACCUCGUCGCCGCCUGCCUCUCUGCCAGACGACGAGGACCUGCUCCAGGAGAUUCUCCUCCGCCUCCCGCCGCGGCCUUCCUCCCUCCCCCGGGCCUCCCUCGUCUGCAAGCUUUGGCGCCGCCUCGUCGCCGAACCCCAGUUCCAGCGCCGCUUCCGCGACCACCACCAUGGCAAGCCUCCUCUCCUUGGCUUCUUCCUCCAAGACAACAUCUCCUGCCCGUUUGUUCCAAUGCUGGAUCCACCAGAUCGCAUCCCCGGCGCUCGCUUCUCCAUGCCUCCCCACAAGCGCUACCGCAUCAUCGACUGCCGCCACGGACUUGUCCUUUUCAGCAAUCAACGGCGGUCGCCCCGCCUAUUUGUGUGGGAGCCCGUCGCCCGCGAGAAGCGCCGCCUCAGCUUCCCACCGGAGCUGGACAACGGCGAGAUGUACAUCAUCAACGGGGCGGUGCUUCGCCCUGCCCGCGGCCGUUCAAGCCAUUUCCAGGUGGCCCUGAUAGCCCAAGACAGAGGAAAUACAAGAGUUUCCGGAUGCCUUUUCUCAUCGGACACCGGUGUAUGGAGCAACAUCAAAACACUGCAGCUGGAUUUGACCAGUAGGUGUACGCCACAGCCCAGUACUUUGAUUGGGAAUUCCCUUUGCUGGUUAAUUGCGGUGCAUCAUGACCAUCCUCAGUAUGCCAUACUUGAGUUUGAUCUGGAUACGCAGAGCCUAGCCAUGACAGAGCUGCCACCACACUUAGAAGCCGGCUAUGACCAAUUAAGGAUUAUUACACCCGGGGAAGAUGGUGGCCUUGGCUUCAUCCAUCUCUCACGUUUUCGCGCGCAGAUAUGGAAGAGAAAGCCUGAUUGUGAUGGUUUGGCUGUAUGGGUGAUUGACAGAGCUAUUGAAUUCAAGGAACUUAGAUCAAAUUGCAAGGGCUACUCCCUCACUUUAGUUGGGUUUGCCGAGGAGAGUAAUGCAAUCCUUGUACUUACAGCUUCUGGCGUCUUCAUGGUAUAUCUCCACUCAAUGGAGUUUAAGAAACUUUCCAACUUGUGGGUCUUCUGUCUCCACUAUCCAUUUGCAUCUUUCUAUCCUGCAGAUAUUGGCAUUGGUGAUGGAGAUGGUGCAGGUGAAGUGUUGGACAAAAUGUGA